rnacentral:misc_RNA from 1 species
GAAAUGCGAUAAGUAGUGUGAAUUGCAGAAUUCUGUGAAUCAUCGAAUCUUUGAACGCACAUUGCGCCCUAUGGUAUUCCGUAGGGCAUGCCUGUUCGAGCGUCAUUUACACCUUCAAGCCUUGCUUGGUGUUGGGUGACUGUGGCCCCUUUGGGGCCACUCGCCUUAAAGUCAUUGGCGGCCGGUUCGUUGGCUUUGUAGCGCAGCACAAUUGCGUCCUCGAAGCCGCUGGACCAGCUCCCAGAAGCUAAUUUUAAAUGUUUGACCUCGAAUCAGGUAGGGAUACCCGCUGAACUUAAGC